CGGCCUACACAUGCAAGUCGAGCGGAUGAGAGGAGCUUGCUCCUUGAUUUAGCGGCGGACGGGUGAGUAAUGCCUAGGAAUCUGCCUGGUAGUGGGGGAUAACGUUCCGAAAGGAACGCUAAUACCGCAUACGUCCUACGGGAGAAAGCAGGGGACCUUCGGGCCUUGCGCUAUCAGAUGAGCCUAGGUCGGAUUAGCUAGUUGGUGAGGUAAUGGCUCACCAAGGCGACGAUCCGUAACUGGUCUGAGAGGAUGAUCAGUCACACUGGAACUGAGACACGGUCCAGACUCCUACGGGAGGCAGCAGUGGGGAAUAUUGGACAAUGGGCGAAAGCCUGAUCCAGCCAUGCCGCGUGUGUGAAGAAGGUCUUCGGAUUGUAAAGCACUUUAAGUUGGGAGGAAGGGCAUUAACCUAAUACGUUAGUGUUUUGACGUUACCGACAGAAUAAGCACCGGCUAACUUCGUGCCAGCAGCCGCGGUAAUACGAAGGGUGCAAGCGUUAA
rnacentral:rRNA from 2 species